rnacentral:rRNA from 1 species
AUUGAACGCUGGCGGCAUGCCUUACACAUGCAAGUCGAACGGCGGCACGGGGGCAACCCUGGUGGCGAGUGGCGAACGGGUGAGUAAUGCAUCGGAACGUGCCCAGUAGUGGGGAUAACUAGUCGAAAGAUUAGCUAAUACCGCAUACGACCUAUGGGUGAAAGCGGGGGAUUCGCAAGAACCUCGCGCUAUCGGAGGCGCCGAUGUCUGAUUAGCUAGUUGGCGGGGAAAAGCCCACCAAGGCUUCGAUCAGUAGCUGGUCUGAGAGGACGACCAGCC